UACGUAGGAGACGAGCGUUGUCCGGAAUUACUGGGCGUAAAGCGCGUGUAGGCGGAUGAGCAAGUCUGCUGUGAAAGCUCCUGGCUUAACCGGGAGUGGUCGGUGGAAACUGCUCGUCUGGAGGACGGUAGAGGUAGGUAGAAUUCCCGGUGUAGUGGUGAAAUGCGUAGAGAUCGGGAGGAAUACCUGUGGCGAAGGCGGCAUCCUGGACCGACAUUGACGCUGAACGGCGAAAGCUAGGGGAGCAAACGGG
rnacentral:rRNA from 1 species